rnacentral:rRNA from 1 species
AGUGAACGCUGGCGGCAGGCCUAACACAUGCAAGUCGAACGGCAGCACAGUAAGAGCUUGCUCUUACGGGUGGCGAGUGGCGGACGGGUGAGGCAUACAUCGGCAUCUACUUUUUUGUGGGGGAUAACGUAGGGAAACUUACGCUAAUACAGCAUACGACCUACGGGUGAAAGCAGGGGAUAUUCGGACCUUGCGCGAUUGAAUGAGCCGAUGUCGGAUUAGCUAGUUGGCGGGGUAAAGGCCCACCAAGGCGACGAUCCGUAGCUGGUCUGAGAGGAUGAUCAGCCACACUGGAACUGAGACACGGUCCAGACUCCUACGGGAGGCAGCAGUAGGGAAUCUUGCACAAUGGGCGCAAGCCUGAUCCAGCCAUACCGCGUGAGUGAAGAAGGUCUUCGGAUUGUAAAGCCCUUUUGUUGGGGAAGAAAAGCAGCAUAUGAAUACCUCGCCGUUUUGACGGUACCCAAAGAGAAAGCAACGGCUAACUUCGUG